GGAGAAGAGGAGAUACAUGAGGUUGUUACUCCCACACAUGCAGACUCGAGGGAGGUUGAUAAUCCAACACCCCAUGAAUUUCCAGAUUUAGAGGUAGAGACCGAGUGUACACUUCUAGCCCCGGGGCUAUCAAAUGGAGGAGAGUUGCAGUUGGUGGCGUAUGGUAGUGCACAAGCAACGGCUGGUGAUACGGUCCAUUUCCAAUCGCUUAGGCCACAACAUUACUCGGUCAGGAUCAAUUCUUACAUUGCUGGGUUUGAAAACAUCCCACUACCGGUGCCUAUAGUGGAUGAUGGGAUUACUCUUCUUUGGGAAGAAA